AGGGAAUAUUAGAAAUGGACGAAAGUCUGAUCUAGCAACACCGCGUGUGCGAAGAAGGCCUUUGGGUCGUAAAGCACUUUUUGGAAGGAAUAGGAAGGAAUGUACUUCCAGAAUAAGUCUCGGCUAACUACGUGCCAGCAGCCGCGGUAACACGUAGGAGGCAAACGUUAUCCGGAUUUACUGGGCGUAAAGCGCGUGUAGGUGGUACUGUAAGUAGGGCGUGAAAGCUCCUGGCUCAACUGGGAGAGGCCGUUCUAAACUACAGAACUAGAGGAUGGUAGAGGGAGGUGGAAUUCCAGGUGUAGCGGUGGAAUGCGCAGAUAUCUGGAGGAACACCGGUGGCGAAGGCGGCCUCCUGGACCAUUCCUGACACUCAGACGCGAAAGCUAGGGUAGCAAACGG
rnacentral:rRNA from 1 species